rnacentral:rRNA from 1 species
CCUACGGGAGGCAGCAGUGGGGAAUAUUGCGCAAUUGGCGAAAGCCUGACGCAGCGACGCCGCGUGAGGGAUGAAGGUCUUCGGAUCGUACACCUCUGUCAGCAGGGAAGAACGGUCACUGUGCUAAUCAGCAGUGAAUUGACGGUACCUGCAAAGGAAGCACCGUCUAACUCCUUGCCAGCAGCCGCGGUAAUACGGAGGGUGCGAGCGUUAAUCGGAAUUACUGGGCGUAAAGCGCACGUAGGCGGUAUGUCAAGUCAAGGGUGAAAUCCCCGCGCUCAACGUGGGAACUGUCUUUGAAAAUGGCAAACUGGAGUGUGUGAGAGGAUAGUGGAAUUCCAGGUGUAGGAGUGAAAUCCGUAGAUAUCUGGAGGAACAUCAGUGGCGAAGGCGACUAUCUGGCACAUAACUGACGCUGAGGAGCGAAAGCGUGGGUAGCAAACAGGAUUAGAUACCCCUGUAGUC